rnacentral:lncRNA from 1 species
GUGCUUAAAAUGACAAUUGUGUACCUAGACCUACAGCCUGAGCCCAGCAGUCCCUUGCACAGAACCAUAUGGGGGAACCUCAUGGUGACCUGCAGGUCUGUUUUCAAGAGAAGUGGUGUUGCCUGCCUGAGGGCUCUGCAGGGCAAAGUACCCAUCACUGGCAGCUGGGGCUCCUCUGGGGCUCAGGGGAAUACAUGCUGGAUGUAUGCUGCUGAGAGCUCCAUCAGAUUGAUUUAACACUGCUAUAGAUGUUAUGUAGAUGACUGUGAAUAGCUGGGAAAGAAUGUUUUAAUUGCUCGUGAGUUGCCAACCUGUUUGGGAGUUUCAGAACAACUGAUAAUAACCGGUGACUGCUGGUGACUGUUAUGGGAUCCUUGGUAUCUGGCCAGGGGGGCCAAGAGAUUAAGAGGAAGAGAAAAGAAGCUGAAGGACGGUUGGGAGACAAGACCUGCGGAGAGUGUACAGAGAGUGUUCCAUAAACUUGGGAUAGUGCCAAGUAAGUACAAAGGGUGAGAGGAAGACUACGAGCCUUCAGCAUGAAAGACCCCUAGAGACCCCCAGAGGAGACUGAUGCGCAUGCUCCAGUAGGAGGAACUGGACCCCGGAAGCUAAUUAUAAUAAUCUACUUUUUUAGAAGUAGUAAUGAAUAUGUAUUAGUCUAGGUGCAUAAAAAUCAGCAGCUUGAUGUAACUGGUGUGCGUCCUGGUGGAGCGGAGACUCCCGGUGCACCCAGCGCUGUUUGCUUACCUCUAUUCCUUUAUAUUCUUUUAAUAAAUCCUAUUUUUUUAUUUAAUCCUAAUUUGAA